rnacentral:rRNA from 1 species
GAUGAACGCUGGCGGCGUGCCUAAUACAUGCAAGUCGAGCGAACGGACGAGACGCUUGCUUCUCUGAUGUUAGCGGCGGACGGGUGAGUAACACGUGGAUAACCUACCUAUAAGACUGGGAUAACUUCGGGAAACCGGAGCUAAUACCGGAUGAUCUUUUGAACCGCAUGGUUCAAAAGUGAAAGACGGUCUUGCUGUCACUUAUAGAUGGUUCCGCGCUGCUUUAGCUAGUUGGUAAGGUAACGGCUUACCAAGGCAACGAUGCAUAGCCGACCUGAGAGGGUGAUCGGCCACACUGGAACUGAGACACGGUCCAGACUCCUACGGGAGGCAGCAGUAGGGAAUCUUCCGCAAUGGGCGAAAGCCUGACGGAGCAACGCCGCGUGAGUGAUGAAGGUCUUCGGAUCGUAAAACUCUGUUAUUAGGGAAGAACAUAUGUGUAAGUAAAUGUGCACAUCUUGACGGUACCUAAUCAGAAAGCCACGGCUAACUACGU